CCCAAAUAGGGUCAAGAAAAGUCAGAUGUGACUGAACAAUGACUAAACAACCAAAAUCCACAUUGUCACCUACACAAAUGAAUAUUUUUAAACCUCACCUUCUCUCUUAUAAUUAUACUACAUAAGUUCCCAGGCAGAAGAGUAAUAAGGUCUAGAACGUUGGGGUUAAAUGAUUUGUUCAGGGUUCUACAGCUCAGAGAAGUCUGAGGCCAGAUUGGAACCAGUACCUCCUGCCUCCACAUCUGGCUCUCUAUCCACUGAACCACCUAAAGCUGCCCUGCUGGAUGGAUAUGCCAGGCAGAGAAAGUCUCAGGCACUGAGGGAGGUUCCUGCAUGAAAUUGCAGUUGAUCCAUGGCAUGGUGUCUAUGUGAAAAUCAGAAGUGCUUCUGGCAGCUGAAAAUAGGUGGCCUGGCCUGGACCCCUCUCCAAAAUGAGGUUACAGUAUCACAGAGGAGUGAUUUCCCCCAAAAUCACACAAAUGGCCGAAUUCAUUUGAUGCAAGUCUUAAUUCAAGACCAUUGCCUUCUCCUUCCAUCAUUUCCUGCAGCCUUGAUAACCCGACACUCCCACAUGCCCUGUGGUACUACUGUGGCUACUGUGGUAGAGACAGAAAGAGAGAGAGAGAGAGAGAGGACUUGUGGGCCAAGAUGCAAGAACCAAGGCUGGGGACAUAUCUGUCAAUCAAGAAGAAGGUUCCAAAUGGAAUGUUCCCAGGAGUUGGCAGUUGAGCUGACCAGGGGGAAGGGACUUGAACACUCUAUCUGGAGGUUAAACCUGGAUGAAAGACCCUUGUGGGGCUGACUUGGUUUGGGGGAGCUCUCUGAUCAAGGGGAAACUUCUGUUCUUUCUGAGAUUUUGACUGAUCAAGAGUUGGAGGAAAGCCAGGCUGAAGAAGAGACUUUGAACUUUGUUUCUUUCUGGGGUUAAUUUGAGAGACCUUGCUGACUGUGAAGAUGAAGAAGAAAGAAGGUUUUAAAAAGCUGUUAUCCUCCGUCUCUCUGUCACACUUGUGACUUCCCACACCCUCAUAAUCUUCAUUUUAGAUUAGGGACAUCCUCAUCCCUCUCACCUCAGUUUCCCAUCCUGUUAUCCCAAUAAACCCCUUGACUUGAAAAAGAAAGGAAAAGAA
rnacentral:lncRNA from 1 species